UACGUAGGGGGCUAGCGUUGUUCGGAAUUACUGGGCGUAAAGGGCGCGUAGGCGGCCAACUAAGUCGGAUGUGAAAUCCCCAGGCUCAACCUGGGAACUGCGUCCGAUACUGGAUGGCUUGAAUCCGGGAGAGGGAUGCAGAAUUCCAGGUGUAGCGGUGAAAUGCGUAGAUAUCUGGAGGAAUACCGGUGGCGAAGGCGGCAUCCUGGACCGGCACUGACGCUGAGGAGCGAAAGCCAGGGGAGCAAACGGG
rnacentral:rRNA from 1 species